rnacentral:rRNA from 1 species
GAUACCGUCAACUCUCUACACGUAGAAAGGUUUCUUCUCUUACAAAAGAAGUUUACAACCCGUAGGGCCGUCAUCCUUCACGCGGCAUGGCUGGUUCAGGCUUGNGCCC